GACAACGCACAUAAAAUAGUUGUCUAAUACGGUCGUUGGGCGGAGGCCUGUUCGCUUGAAGAAGAACGAUAAAAUAUUAGAUCAAUUUUAAAAAAAGAACCUGAAUCAACUACCUAAUUCUAAUUCAAAACCUCACCCUAACCCUAUUUAAGGCCUAUAUAAGACGCUCACUCUAAGGGAUCUGAGUCACAUUUGCAAAGGUUACUAGUCUGUUGUGAUAGCGUUUUUGCAAGCCAUUCGUCUUAACUCUCGUUCGAUUUUAUAAUUGAUAAAAUUACAACAAUGGAGUUCCGUGUUGUGGUCGCCAUUCUCUUGAUCGCAGUGUCAACAGUCUACAGUCAGAGUGUCAUGUCUCUGUGUCAGCAGACACAAGUUAGAGCCGGAUCACAUUUUGUCCGAUCACCAAGUAACUGCAGUGAAUUCUACUUAUGUAAUAAUAUGUUUCCCAUACCGUUGGCAUGUUUUAAACAAACUGUGUUUUCUCAAUCUCAACAAGUCUGUGUGCGGCGGGGCAGCCAAUAUGAUGACUGCGACCGACCAGUUUAUGGAGGAAGAUUCGGUAAGUUUCUCUAUCUAUAUAUUUAUCAUUAUUGCUAUUAUUAUUAUUACUCAGUAAUUUUAUUUUUAUAGCGUGCUUUCACUUCACUACCGAGCGCAGCUCUGUGUGCCUUGGGUAUGUGCUGUGAUUUGUGGUGCUCUGAUGNNNNNNNNNNNNNNNNNNNNNNNNNNNNNNNNNNNNNNNNNNNNNNNNNNNNNNNNNNNNNNNNNNNNNNNNNNNNNNNNNNNNNNNNNNNNNNNNNNNNUACGCUCUUAUUCAGAAAGAGACAUAGAAAAAAACAUAGAAUGAAUUAAAUGUGUGUAGUAGCUAACGAUCUCUCUCUCUCUCCAUAUAUAUAUAUAUAUACAUAUAUAUAUAUAUAUAUAUAUAUAUAUAUAUAUAUAUAUAUAUAUAUAUAUAUAUAUAUAUAUAUAUAUAUAUAUAUAUAUAUAUAUAUAUAUAUAUAUAUAUAUAUAUAUAUAUAUAUAUAUAUAUAUAUAUAUAUAUAUAUAUAUUUGUUGCUUGUUUCAGCUCAGAUCUGCGGCCAUGCUGAUGCACCGCCGUUUUGUGCUACACUGUUAUUACGACGAACCUCGUCUAAUAUGGGGCACUUGGUAAAGAAUGGAGUUUGACAUAGCUACUCUCAUUUGCACCUCUUGCCGUGAGGUAGGAUUAUCUGGUACUCUCGACAGGAAGAUGUCCAGCUUUGAUUUAAAGACCGCUACAUCUACUUUGUGCAAGUUCCUCAGACUCUUUGGCAGAAUAUUAAAAAGCUGUGGGUCCUUGAAACCCAGGCUGUUGCAGAAGCUGGUCCUGAAGCGUGAUGGCAUUGCUGGGAUCUUUGCACUAUGCAGUGUCGACCCGUUCUAGCAUUGGUGAAGCUUACAAUGCCAAAAUUUGGCACAAUUCCUUCCAGGAUCUUCAAGACGUAUAUUACUGCAUACCUCUCCCGUUUUCUCUCCAGGGAGUAGAGUCUUAGCUGAUUCAAACUUUCCCAGUAGCUCAGCUGGUCGAAAGAGACAAUCUUCUUUGUGAAUCUUCUUUGGAUUGCUUCAAGGUCCGCUGUUAAUUUUAUACUGGUGGGUGACCAUAGCUGUGAGCAGAUAUCCAGGCGGCUGAGCACGAAUGUCCGCCAGAGGGCCAUCAUUGUUUCCUCAUCUCUGGUUCUGAAUGUUCUUAGGAUCUAUCCAGCCAGUCUUCUGCACUUUGUCGCCAUCCUGGUAAUGUGCACUUGGAAAGAGGUAUCAUCACUCAUGUCGAUACCCAGGUCCCUCACAGACUUAGGCACUGGGAUUGAAAUUCCCUGUGGAGCGGUGUAUCCUGUAAGUUUAAUACUCAGUUUUGGAUGCUGGUAGCGCAAAGCCUGGAAUUUUUCAGCAUUAAACUGCAUAUUAUUAUCCUCAGCUCAUCUGUAGAUCUAGUCCAACUCCUGCUGCAGUUGUGCAACAUCGCUGGGGUUCUGUAUUUUCUGCGAGAAUUUCGUAUCAUCUGUAUAGCUUGCCAGAGUGGACAUCCGGGCAUUUGAGGGCAUAUCUGAGAGGGCCACUAUAAAAAGCAGUGGUACCAAGACAGUGCCCUGUGGAACACAGCUCACUAUUUGUGUGUUCAUAGAGGUUGCUCCAUUAACCACUACUGCCUGACUCCUAUCUUUAAGGAAGUCAUGUAACCACACUCCAAGUUUUCCAGCUAUGCUGAGGUCACGCAGUUUGUGGCAUAUCAUAGCAUGAUCCACCUUGUCAAAAGCUUUUGCAAAAUCAAGGUAGAUUACGUCCACAUUUGAUUUGUUGAGUAACUGCCUCAAAAUCCAGUAUUAAUGUUGUAAGAGCUGGGUCAGGCAGCUCCUACCUGGUCGAAAACCAUGCUGGGCAUCACUCAGCAAGUUAUUUUCCUCAAGGAAUGCGAUUAGUUUCUUUCUGACUAUCCUUUCCAUGACUUUGCUGAUGUGUGAAGUCAGAGAGAUAGGCCUAUAGUUUUUGGCAUCUUCUCUACUUCCCCGUUUACGUAUUGGGCAUAUUAUUCCCUCCUUCAGCUUGCUUGGCAGUUUGCCAUUCGCAAGAAAGUUCUGGAAGAGAAUCUUGAGGGGUUUUGCCAGGGCAUGCUUACACGCUUUGAUGAGGAUUGCUGGGAAACCAUCUGGACCAGCAGUUGAGUUUGUGUCCACUCCAUCUAUGGCUAGUAGGACAUCUUUUUCGCUAAUGUCAAAACAUUCUAUUGUAAUCGCCUCUCUGUUUAUAGGUGAGGCAGCAAAGACGUCCACUGUUUCGUUCACUUGUCUGUGUUCCAACGGGGUGGUAAAGACACUUUUGAACUGGUCAUUCAGCAUCUCACUGAUCUUAGUUGGACUGUCUGUGAGGGAGUCAUCCUUUUGGAGGAGGGGUCCUAUCUUGUAGUGCACUGAGACUGUUUCUUUCGCGUAAUGAAAGAAGGCCUUCGGGUCGAUUUAAUGAUUUUUAUAACCUAGGCUUCUUUGUCUGCUUUCUCCCUCACGUAGGAUUGUUGCAGCCUUUUUUCAACCUCCAUCAGUGUUGUUUUUAGGCGGGACGUUUCGCUAUUUUGGGAUGUUGGUUGAGACGAUUUGCAACUUUCGUCCGUCCUCUUAUGAGGAUCUUCCUGUCUCUUGGAAUCUUGCUCCUAUUUGUUUUGGCCUUGUGCUCUGGGACAUAUUUCUGGCAUACGGGUUGCACAGAAGACAUAAAAAAUUCUAGUUUCAUGUCAAUGUCUGGUGUUGAGAGACAUUCCGUCCAGUCCUCUCUGAGAAUCUCUUUUUGGAUCGAUUUCCAAUCUUCUUUGUGGAUGUUCAGACUGGAGAGAUUUCGGGUGCUUCCUUUAGGCUGUAUGUCUCUGGUUACUUUUGGCCCAAACAUAGACAGCUCUAUUAUGUUGUGAUCCGAAACUAAUGUCGGUGUCACUUUCACAUCAUGAAUGAUGUCCAUAUUGUUCGUGAAGCAGAGAUCCAGAAUGUUAUUCGCCCUAGUUGGUUUGAGUACAUAUUGCUCCAUGAAUAAGGCGUUGGUGACGUUGAGCAGGGACUCUACCUAUACUUGCUUGCAAUGAUUAAUUCCUGAGAGUAUGAGACCUUCAGGCCAUUUGACGUUGGGAAAGUUGAAAUCAACCGUAAGAAAUAUGGUCACGUGGUGUUCCAGAUUCAUGAGGAUUUCUUUAAUUCUUGUGAGGCAAACUUCAAACUUGCCUAUGUGAUUUGGGGCAUCCGGUGGGCAAUAUGUAUUGCAUAUGACUAUAUUAUGUUGUUUUAUGUAUACAGUUAGAGUGUCACAUAUCGAAUUUGUGUAUGUCAUUAAGACCUGGGGUGUCAGGCCAUCUCGAAUGCAUACAGCAACUCCACCAUGGCUCCUUUCCCUUCUGUCUGUUCGCAGUAUAGCAUAGUUUGGUAUGUGUACAUCUGCGUCUUCUAUAUCAGGGCUGAGGUGAGUUUCCACGAGUGCUAUGCAUAGGGCUUGAUUGCAUGCAGUAAGAUCUCUCAGGAAAGAAAUUUUGUUUCUACUUUGAUGCAAUAGGCCCCCAAUAAUUAUUAAAAGUACUGGGGUGACAGCUGUGCAGGCGUCAGGGGAGGCCAUCCAUUGUCUGUUGACUGUGGUGGUCUUGCAUAGUGGUGGCAGGGUUCAUUCUCUGUGCUUGGUGUAGCCAGGUUAGCUACUGGACAAUUCUUUGUGCCAUGCAUAAAAAAGACUCUUGCUCAGCUGCUGCGUUGCGCAGAACAUCUGAGGAGCGCACUUCUUUUUUGAAAGUUUUCCUGGGAGACAUUUCUUGACUUCCCUCAGUAAAGCUUUUUUCUUUGAGUCCCCUGAAGUUCUGGCGGGCUGUCGGGUGGGCGAACCGGCAGUUUUUGCCGUCCUCCCCAUGCCAACAUUUGCCCCGCAGGUAGAAUCUACAGGUUCUUCGGUGCCUUCCAGGUUUCUUCUUUCCUGAAGUGUACUGGGUGGCAUUGGAUCCUCAAAGGGGUUCUCUGCUGUUUUUGUGGUGGGUCGGGGUUUCAGCUUUGGUUGUUUUGCCUUUUCUUCCCUUUCCCUCCUUAUUUUUGUUUUCGGUCCUUCCUUUUUUCUUCUGUUUUUCUAAUUUCUCAUUUCUAUGUAGGACCACUGGUACAAGGGGGGGCUUCCGGUUUCUGCUCCCUUGGCUGCCCUAUCCUUCACUACAUGGUCGGUCACCGAGGUAGGUGAUCCAUUUUCCUGAGGAGCUCCUGGAUCACAGAGACUUCCGGCUUCCUUCUCUUUUCGUCCUCUUCAUCCUCAUCAGCCUUGCCACAAUACUUUUCAAUUAUGUUAUCCAAUGUUUUGAUGUGUGGUCUUAUAAGCAUGUAAGACCGGAUAAAUUCACCUUUCUUUCGCUCUAUUUGUUCAAUGGUUCUAUGAAAUCCAUUGUUGUUUAGCGCGGCAGUGAUGAUGUUGUUCGGCGGAUCACCACUAGCAAUUGUCUAUGCUCUUAUAUUUCUCAGUCGUAAGCUUAAAUUACAGGAAAAUAAACAAAUGAAAGGAAUUUUUAAAUAUUAGUUUUAUAGAGAGAGAAUAAAAUUACGAUAAAAUUACGAUUAUAUUUCUAGCUCAGUCGUAGCUUACAUGAAAAUAAACAUAUGAAAAGAAUUUUUAAAUAUUAGUUUUAUAGAGAUAAAAUGAAAGAUAGAUUGAAAGCGAAACAGAAAUUGAAAGAAAGUUAUUCUCAGAAUGUAAACAAAGAUGGCGUCGUAAAUCGUAACUGAGAUGUUAGCUUACAUUAAAGGAAAAUAAAAAAUAAUAAACAAAAAUAUGAAAACGUUACUUAUCGUAAAAGGUACAGUCCAAACCUUCGUGCUUGUACGAAGAAGUUUUCUUUCAAAACAGAAAAGAGAACAAUUCUUUUUCCUUCUUACAUUUGGUUGGAGAUAAGUUAAAGACUUGCCACCACGUGCUUUUUCGGCGAAGAAUCUAGCAUGCGUAACUAACUUUAACGUAUUAUAUUUGGCUUCAAGCGAAAUAUAUUACGUUUUUAAUCAAUAUAUUUUUAAUUAAUGUAUUUUAGUAGAUCGUUAUGAGUUAACAAGUUCUACGUUUUGUUAGUUUUAGUAGAUUAUUUCGUCGAUUUAUGCAAAUCUUCUUGUUUUUUUUCACAGAGCAAAAGCAAACGCGUCUUUCCUCUACGAAAACCGGAAGUAAUAUAUAUCUGCAUUUGUAUAUAUGUGAACUGAUGUAUAUAUUGUAUCAUUUGAUACUAUUUCAUAAUAUAUGGUCCUUGUGACUACAUUUUCUAAAAAUCAAGAAAUGACCAAAAUUAAUUAUCGCGCUUGCAUUAAAACUUUAUUAAUACAUUUUCUCUUCAGAUGAUCCUCUCUGUAACCAAUACCCAGACGGGAUGAACCGUGACCCUAGUGACUGCCACAGGUAUAUUCCCUGUUUCAAGCGUACCUCAUACCCUUCCAUGCCGUGUCAAUUAAAUCUUUACUUUGACCCCCAAACUCAAAGAUGUAGCGAAAUUCGUCCGCCAUAUUGUCAAAACCAAUGUAAGUAACUUCUUUAUAUUUCAUUUUAUCAUAUUUCGUUUGACACGUUUAUUUCUAAAUUAUCGCAUUACAGAAAAAUCUAGAGUCCUAGCGGCCAUUGUAAUAGUAAAACUGUCAGAAUGUUUUUGACAGAUGAGACGGAAAUUGGACAAACAUUAACUCCUCUAUGAUUCGCCUUGUCUCAAAAUUUGAAACCGUUUAAAACGGUGAGUUAUCAAUCCCUUUAGAGCGUCGGAUAAAAUGCUUAGCUGUGUUUGUUCCGGCUGUUUAUACUCGAGUUCGAAUUCCGCCGAGUAUAACUUCACCCUUUCAUCCUUUCGAGGUCGAUAAAAUAAGUACCAGUGAAAUACUGGGGUUCACGCAAUCUACUAGUCCCCUCCACAAAAUUGCAAGCCUUGUUCCUAUAGUAGAAAAGAUUAUGUAAGGCGGCGAGCUGGCAGAAUCGUUAGCACGCCGGGUGAAAUGCUUAGCAGUAUUUCGUCUGCCGCUACGUUCUGAGUUCAAAUUCUGCCGAGGUCGACUUUGCCUUUCAUCCUUUCGGGGUCGAUUAAAUGAGUACCAGUUACGCACCGGGGUCGAUAUAAUCGACUUAAUCCGUUUGUCUGUCCUUGUUUGUCCCUUCCGUGUUUAGCCCCUUGUGGGUAGUAAAGAAAUAGGUAUUUCGUCUGCCGCUACGUUCUGAGUUCAAAUUCCGCCGAGGUCGACUGUGCCUUUCAUUCUUUCGGUAUCGAUUAAAUAAGUACCAGUUACGCGCUGGGGUCGAUAUAAUAUACUUAAUCCGUUUGUCUGUCCCCUCUGUGUAUAGCGCCUUGUGGGCAGUAAAGAAAUGAAUAUAAAGUGGUGUUAUUGGUAUCGGCUUGUAUCGUCAUCGGAAAUUGCUGGCCUUAUAUACUGUGAUGGACCAAUGUUGUGAUCUUCGUCAGUAAUAUGCCAUGGUAAUUGAUUAAGCGUUCCGAUGUGUCCCAGGGCUAAAGAAAAAUAGUAAAUUAUGCAAAUUCUAUAGACACUUGAUCGCAAUUUUCUAAUUUAAGUCUUUUAUCUACAAGGAUUUAUUUUUGGAAGAUAAGAUUAACUUCUAGAUUUUUAAAAGCAUUUUUAUAUCUUUUUUAUAUCUAUAUAUAUAUUCAUAUUUUGUAUAUUUCAGAAUUGCGUUUCAAGAUCAGCAAUGAUCGCAAGGCUGUUUCCUGUAACCAGUAAGACUUGAAAUACAAUAACUUUUAGAAAUGCUUGUUUGUGAAAAAUAAAGUUCUUUAAAACUGC
rnacentral:lncRNA from 1 species